AUGGGCAGUAUUUUGGCCUAUGUAUUUAAUGUUUUUCUGACAUCGCCUAGUGCUGUCAGCAGCAGGAAAACGUUUGCUGGAUCCCUCUUUCUCUUACAGCUUCUGUUCACCGUUAUUUACUACCAAUGGAGGAGCUGUGGAUAUCUGGAUAGAAACUUCUGGUCCAGAAGCCAACAUGAGUCGUUUGCUUUGUCCUGUUCCUUUCCUGCCUUCUCCUACAAAGGAAAGAAGAAACUAAAACAGGGACCGUUUCUACAUGGUUCUGUACCUGGAUGGUCUUGCAGUGCCACCUUCUCUAAGAUUUUCAGUGGAAGCCAGGAUGCUUGGCUUGGUGAUCUGCAGCUGCUCCAUUUCGCCUUGGAUACUGCUGCUGAAGUCCACCAGAAGGAGCCUUUGUGUAUCAGUUUUGCAUAAGCUUCAAGGAAUAGAUUAACAUGUAAGUAAAAAAGCCAGUGAGUUCUCUGAACUAUGGUGAGUUAUCAUAAAAUUAAUCUUCCCAAUCUGUAUGAGGAAAGGAUGCUCUGGAUUUGCAAUACAAAUCCUAUACACUAAGAAUAUGGGUGGUUGUACACCGCUGCUAGAGACGACUUUAAUCCCAGCCAUCUCAUUGAUUGACCAGUGUUUUAUUUCUUAAUAACUACAGAGAACUAAAUACAGCCCUACAACAGCAUGUAUCGGAUAUGUGUUCCCCUUUUUGCUCGCAGUCUGCUUCAGAUUUGUGUUAAGCAUUGUGCAGCAUUCCCCAAGGCAGCUUCGUACCUUGAGAUGCGCCUGUCUCUGCAGGAGCUCUCUUUGACCAGGGAAACUUGAAACAUUCUCUUCUUGGGUACUCUUAUUGUAGUAAAAUCACAGGAAUGUAUCAGCAAAUCAGCUCUGUUGAACUCCUGCAGUUUUGAUCUGAUGGCUGGAUUUAAUCUGUCAGUGUUUUGGGAGGAUGACUGCUUAUCAGAAGAAUGAGGGGGAAAAAAUGUCAAAAAAUUUAAAAAUCAGUUCCCAUAAAGUUACCCUUACUUGCUCUCUCUUCUCUUCCCUGCUGUGUUUGUGGUAACAGCUCAUCAGACCCUGUGCUUGUAAUAUCUGUACCAUGAGACUGCAAGAGAACUUCUCUUCCUCUAGGAAAGAACAGGAACCGGGAUUCCUCCUCUGAGAGAUGUGGGGCUCAUGCCUGAAGAGGAUGUAUGUGAUGUUUUUCUCCCCCGACCAAUGUAAUCAUCGAGAACUGAAAUACUUCUGGUAGCUUUUGCGAACUCUGUGAGCCUUGCCUUCUUUGCAGAGGAGCCAGAGUCUAUGUGGACGAUUUGAACCUUUGCCAUCAUUUGGAGCAGAAUGAAGCUCUGUAAAAGGACAGCGACUGAAUGCCAACUGGGUUGUCAUUAGCCCGGGCGGCCCAGGAAGCAGCUGAUGUGCAGUUUGUGGUGGAAGUCAUGCAGACACAAGGGGUAUGACUCAGUGAUGGAGAGGCCCCAGCCUCUGGCUGUAUUCCAAACCGAAGGUGGAUUCUGGGCUUGCUGUUGGGAUGGACCAGGGACAGCUAGUGGCUGCACGCACGCACAUGGCUGCAUAAAGCACAAAGGCUCUGAGGAUUCCCCUGUGGCCCUCCCUUUCGCAGAAGGCUGUUAAUGUUGCAGCGAUGUCUGGUGCUGCUGGCCCUGUUCCUCCUUUCUUCCACAGUAAUCAAUGGACGCAUGUCCUGGUCUUGAAGUCUGGCACUUUAGGAAUGAAAAGCUUAAUGGCUUUCCUUGGCUUUUUUUCCCCCCUCUUCUUUUCUUUUAUGAAGCAUAGGGUGUUUAGAACUAUGGAAGCAGUGCAAGAAAAAUAUUAAUGAAUAACUAUGGAGUGCAGACAUUAAUGCAUUCCUUUCUCUUGAAAUAACUGACUUUUCUCUGUGGGCUCUGUAAAAGAAAAAUGUCUGCUGAGUCUGAACCUGCUGUAUAGGAGCCAAAGUAGAUGGUGAUUUAGAACUUCACUGGCUUUUUUGUUAAAAUGUUACCUCUGCAUUUAUCAUGUGGCCAAAAAUCAUCUCUCUUUCUCCCCACAAUGAUAACCCUGAGGAGGCAAGGUAAGCCUAAGGCACAGGGGUGGUUCCUGAUGGCAACUGUGAAUGAAAAACGAUUUCUAGGACCCCCUCCCACACCCCAGACUCUACCCGAUGUUGGAGGAGAGGAAUUAAAGUGUUGCGAGCACUCUACCAUGGGAGUGCUCUGCAGCAGUGGAUUUUGAAGCCCCGAGUAGCUUUUGCUUCCCGGCAGGUAUGGAGGGGUACGCGAGCUGCGUGUGGGGCUGCGCCAGCAGCAAUGCUCCAAGGUUUGAAUCCAGCCUUCCCGGGCCAGGGCUGAAAACCGCAGGUCGGCUCAAGGCGGCGGCGCCUGACAGCCGGCCUUGCUCCAGCUGGUCCUUCGAGGGAGCGGGAGGCAGAGGGUGCCCGCGGCGGAGACCCCCGUGUCCCGCCGCCGGUGGAGCCGGGUGGGUGCCUCGGUGCCCCACGGAGCCCGGCUGCGCGGGCAGGCGCUGUCCGGCGCCCAGCGGAGCAGGAGGCUCAGGAACCUGCCCGAGAUAGCUGCGGGGCUCAGCUCAGCGUUUAACCCCCCCGGCCACCUCUCCCCGAUGGCGCCCACCCCUGCCUCAGCUGCCUCCCCCGCCUCGCCCACCCCGCCCGCCGCAGCGGCUGGCGAACAGGGCUUUGUCCCGGUGUCCCGGCCCGCCGGGACUGAACGCUGCAGCUGGGAUCAUUGUGCAAGGGACGGGGGAAGGGGGGUGCGACGGUGCCUCCCGCCAGGCGGUUUCCUUUGGCGGCCCCCGGCCCCCUCGCCUGCCCCCGCCGCUCCCCGGGAGCCGCCGGGACUUGUAGUCCGGCCCGGCCCGGCCCGGCCCGAGGGGCUGCCCGUAGGGGACCCC
rnacentral:lncRNA from 1 species